rnacentral:lncRNA from 1 species
GUCCGAGGCAAAACACGACGCGAUUGGUCGUGGUGCCUCUGGAAUGAACAUUUCAUGGCGCAUUCGCACUUACACUGUUAGUUACACGAUACUAUGCCUUCAUUCAGCCAGCGACGUCAAUAAGGGAGCACUUAAACGCAUGUUUAGACAGGAGAUCGAUUCAAAGACAUGCCAAAAAAUACAGGCAUGUCAGUAGACAAUACCUACUGGCUAACUACCUAAACUACGUCAGAUGCUUGCUCUACAUACUCCGUACACCAUUUCAAACAGGAGAGGGAUCCUUGAGAUCCCCGUGCCGUUGCAUUUCCGCCUUUCUAUGCCUGACCACAUUAGGUAGUUACCUAAUGUAUCAUCCAUAAGCUGAAAAGGAUGAAUAUUGUCGAUCUUUCGGUUUCACGAUCCAUCGAUCUGAAUUCUCCGCAUAAACUUCUCCAACCAUGUAACAGAGCCGAUUUCGCUUCGUUGGGCCAUACAGAUUCCGCGCGUCUUGCAUUUCCUUCAUGCAUUUCCUUCAUGCACAUCUUCUAAUCAUGCUAUGCGGAGUUUAUAGUUGCUACGUAUUUCCAUGGAUGGUAAGUG